rnacentral:rRNA from 1 species
GGACUACAAGGGUAUCUAAUCCUGUUCGCUCCCCUAGCUCUCGCUCCUUAGCGUCAGGUACUAGCCAGGACACUGCCUUCGCCUUUGGUGUUCUUCCGGAUCUCUACGCAUUUCACCACUCCACCCGGAGUUCCAUGUCCCUCUCUAGCCCUCAAGUCAUGCCGUUUAGCGAGCACUCCAUCGGUUAAGCCGAUGGCUGGAACCCUCUACGUACAUCACCGCCUGCGAGCGCUUUACGCCCAGUAACUCCGGACAACGCUUGCCCCCUACGUAUUACCGCGGCUGCUGGCAC